rnacentral:rRNA from 1 species
UACGUAGGGAGCGAGCGUUGUCCGGAAUUACUGGGCGUAAAGGGUGCGUAGGCGGUUUACUAAGUCAGAUGUGAAAUACCCGUGCUUAACAUGGGGGGUGCAUCUGAUACUGGUAGACUUGAGUAUAGGAGAGGAAAGUGGAAUUCCUAGUGUAGCGGUGGAAUGCGUAGAUAUUAGGAGGAACACCAGUGGCGAAGGCGGCUUUCUGGACUAUAACUGACGCUGAGGCACGAAAGCGUGGGGAG